UAUGGAGAGUUUGAUCCUGGCUCAGGACGAACGCUGGCGGCGUGCCUAAUACAUGCAAGUCGAGCGGACGAUUCGAAAGCUUGCUUUUGAAUCGUUAGCGGCGGACGGGUGAGUAACACGUGGGCAACCUGCCCUGUAGACGGGGAUAACACCGAGAAAUCGGUGCUAAUACCGGAUAACACGAAAUGUCGCAUGACGUUUCGUUGAAAGACGGCGCAAGCUGUCGCUACAGGAUGGGCCCGCGGCGCAUUAGCUAGUUGGUGAGGUAACGGCUCACCAAGGCGACGAUGCGUAGCCGACCUGAGAGGGUGAUCGGCCACACUGGGACUGAGACACGGCCCAGACUCCUACGGGAGGCAGCAGUAGGGAAUCUUCCGCAAUGGACGAAAGUCUGACGGAGCAACGCCGCGUGAGCGAAGAAGGCCUUCGGGUCGUAAAGCUCUGUUGUUAGGGAAGAA
rnacentral:rRNA from 1 species